GAUGAAGAACGUAGUGAAAUGCGAUACUUGGUGUGAAUUGCAGAAUCCCGUGAACCAUCGAGUCUUUGAACGCAAGUUGCGCCCGAAGCCAUCAGGUUGAGGGCACGUCUGCCUGGGCGUCACAUAUCGUUGCCCAAUGCCUAUUGCAGUGCAAUAGGAAUUUCUAGGGCGAAUGAUGGCUUCCCGUGAGCGUUGUUGCCUCGCGGUUGGUUGAAAAUCGAGUCCUUGAUAGGGUGUGCCAUGGUAGAUGGUGGUCGAGUUAGAACGAUACCGAUCAUGUGCAUGCUCCCCAAAAUAUGGCCUCUAUGACCCACACGCGUCUUUUGACGCUCAUGACGAGACCUCGGGUCAGGCGGGGCUACCCGCUGAAUUUAAGCAUAUCAAUAAGCGGAGGA
rnacentral:misc_RNA from 1 species